rnacentral:rRNA from 1 species
AGCGAACGCUGGCGGCGUACUUAACACAUGCAAGUCGAACGGGGAUCGUCAGUGUAGCAAUACAUCGGCGGUUCUAGUGGCGCACGGGUGAGUAACACGUGGGUAACCUGCCCUUGAGUUCGGGAUACCCUUUCGAAAGGAAGGCUAAUACCGGAUACGUUCCUCGGAUUGCCAAAGCUGGGGAGGAAAGGUGGCGCAAGCUGCCGCUCUUGGAGGGGCUCGCGGCCUAUCAGCUAGNGGUGAGGUAACGGCUCACCAAGGCUAUGACGGGUAGCUGGUCUGAGAGGACGACCAGCCACACGGGAACUGAGACACGGUCCCGACUCCUACGGGAGGCAGCAGUGGGGAAUUUCCGCAAUGGGCGAAAGCCUGACGGAGUGACGCCGCGUGGGGACGAAGGCCUCGG